GGAUGCAGCUCAGUUGAUAGAGUGCUUGCCUAGUAUGCAGAAGGCCCUGGGUUCAAUCCCCAGAAAAACAUACA
rnacentral:tRNA from 1 species